rnacentral:rRNA from 1 species
CGUUAGCGGCGGACGGGUGAGUAACACGUGGGUAACCUACCUAUAAGACUGGGAUAACUUCGGGAAACUGGAGCUAAUACCGGAUAAUAUUUCGAACCGCAUGGUUCGAUAGUGAAAGGUGGUUUUGCUAUCACUUAUAGAUGGACCUGCGCCGUAUUAGCUAGUUGGUAAGGUAACGGCUUACCAAGGCGACGAUACGUAGCCGACCUGAGAGGGUGAUCGGCCACACUGGAACUGAGACACGGUCCAGACUCCUACGGGAGGCAGCAGCA